CUCUACAUUCGGGCUGGGGUGCCCAAACCUGCCUCUCUGGGAAGCUUCAGGGUCACCAAGGGAGGAGAAAGAGUUAAAGGACCACGCCUGGCUCUGCAAGUUUUUGCUGAGAUGCGACCCCCAUCACCUGCCAAGGCAUGUCACAGACAAAGCAUGCCAUAGGUCACUCCUGAGUUAGAGAGUGGGCAUGUUUCAUCCCCGCAGAGCAGGCAUUUCAGAGAAGGAAGCUGGGAUAGCUAGCAAACAAUCACAUGACAUACCACAUGCUGAAAGGGCAGACUCUAGCAGACUGAGAAAAAAGCAGGCUGUUGUUGGAGACAGGAGAUCAAGACUUUGGAGGAUGAUUGGCCAGUGGAAAUUUCCCAGAGUGGAUUCACCAAAAGAGCAGGUGUGCUCCUGUCUUCCUUUUUAAGUGCUGUUCAUUUUGCUCUACAGUGCACUCCUGCUACUUCCUGCACAUUUGCUGAAGUCCAGCACACACACAAAAUCUUUAUUGUACCUUGGUCCAGCAGAUGUCCUGGGAACACUGAGAUACACGCCUCCCACUCUGGCCCUGAAGAAGCUGUGCAAGAAUAAGACCAUCUAUCGAAUGUCGCCUGUGGCCCAGGCUGGGGACACACAGGGAUGUGCAGUCAGGGACUUCUGAAAUGUCAGUCAUUGAAAGCAGAGGCUCAAAGAACAGAAACGUGUGAGAGGAGAUUUGAGACCCUGACUACAACAGUGAGACAUUUCCCUGCCUCCAUGACUGUUAGCUCCAAACUCAGCCUCAGCUUUCAGGACCUCUGUGGAAUGUCACUCUCAUCCAUUUCAUCAAUGACAAUGUGUUCACCCGGAGGGGUGAGCAAGGAGUGACCAAUCACAUGUACACUCCAGAGGGCAGAGAUCAACAGUUCAAGACUGAGGACCUGCCACAUCCACAGAUAUGUUGGAGAUGAGGAUUUGCAGCCCACAUACUUCAAAAAUGCCAACAUCCUGCCUACAGCUGGCACAUCCACUGCUGUCACACACCUGCAUGAGUACUGGCACUGUGGCCUGAGGCCCAUCCUGUUACACCAGUGACAACCAGAACUUCUGCCUGGUGCAAGUCAUCAAGCUGCAGCCCACAGCAUGCUGGUUCCAUGCACCGGUCUCCCAACAGGCACAAAUAAAAGAACCUGGACUGUUCUCUGAAA